GAAGUAGCAGAUGCAACGGCUUUAUUCUGUCAUGAAGAUGAAGCAGCAACAAGCUCAGUUGUAAACUUGCAUUUCCUUAAGUGUUGG